AUAGUACAAAUGUAUAGUUCUGCAACUUGACAUAAUUAAUAUAGUUACCAAAAGUUAUAUUAACUUAGAUAUGAUUACAGAAAAACACAAAUAUAAAAAUUAAAAACAAAAAAAAUAUACUCGCCAUUUAAAAGUGCGCAUCAGAAUCUAGUAUUCAUAUAAUUUAGCAUUAUUUAUUUAUAGUUAUAUUUUCAAAUACUUAUAUAAUUUGAGAUUUAUUUUUUAAAAGAAAAUCAAUAGUUACAUGUCUUUAAUAACAAAAUUUAUACAUGAAAAAAAGAAAAAGAAAAAUGCAUACAUGGUUUUCUCAACAAAAACAUACAUGAUCUUCAAAUAGCCCGAAACGACUUCGUAAGGAUCUAAUUUUACUAUCCUUGCUGGCAGUUAUACGAUUAUUGAUUAUUUUUUCUUAGGGCCUGACUGGUUCAAACGCAUCGAUUGCGGUUGCGGGAGUUUGUGGAUGCGGGCAGUUGCGGUUUCUAGCGGUUUUAAGAGAUUUGUAUGACUGGUACUGCGGUUAAAAAUUAGUGCGUUUGCGGG
rnacentral:lncRNA from 1 species